rnacentral:rRNA from 1 species
AGCCCACCAGCUAGCUCGCACCCUAAAAUGCAACAAUUCAAUAUAAAUAACCCCAGACAACCUUAAGUAUUUUAAACAAACCAUUUUUCCCCCCAAGUAUGGGCGACAGAAAAGGACAUCGCCGAAGCAACAGCAACAGUACCGCAAGGGAACGCUGAAAGAGAAAUGAAACAAAUCAGUAAAGCACAAAAAAGCAGAGCUUAACCCUCGUACCUUUUGCAUCAUGAUUUAGCAAGAAAACAUCAAGCAAAAAGUAUUUUUAGUUUGAUACCCCGAAACCAAGUGAGCUACUCCAAGACAGCCUCUAAGGGCGCACCCGUCUCUGUGGCAAAAGAGUGGGAAGAUCUUUGAGUAGAGGUGAUAGACCUACCGAACUUGGUUAUAGCUGGUUGUCCAGGAAGUGGAUAGGAGUUCAGCCUAUUAUCUUCUUUCCCCACAUGCCGACUACACCCUAAGCAUUUAAGAAGAUAACAGAGUUAGUCAAAGGGGGUACAGCCCCUUUGAAAAAGAUACAACUUUACCAGAAGGGUUAAGAUCAAAUCACCUAUUAAGGAAAUGUGUUCUAGUUGGCCUAAGAGCAGCCACCCAUGCAGAAAGCGUUAAAGCUCAGACACCCCUCCUCCCUAUUAUUCCGACCACACAAGUCUUACCCCCCUAAACAUACUAGACCCUCCCAUACUUAUAUGGGAGAGAUUAUGCUAAUAUGAGUAAUAAGAGACCACGCAUCUCUCCUUGCAUAAGUGUACAUCGGAACGAACUAACACCGAAAAUUAACGGCCCCAAGACAGAGGGUAAUGAAAUAUUACGGCCAAGCCACUAGAAAAACAUCCACACUGACCAACCGUUAACCUUACACCAGAAUGCUAAUAAGGAAAGACUAAAAGAAAAAGAAGGAACUCGGCA